rnacentral:rRNA from 1 species
UACGUAGGGUGCAAGCGUUUGUCCGGAAUUAUUGGGCGUAAAGGGCUCGUAGGCGGUUUGUCGCGUCGGGAGUGAAAUCCACUGGCUUAACUGGUGGCUUGCUUUCGAUACGGGCAGACUGGAGGUAUGCAGGGGGAGAACGGAAUUCCUGGUGUAGCGGUGAAAUGCGCAGAUAUCAGGAGGAACACCGGUGGCGAAGGCGGUUCUCUGGGCAUGUCCUGACGCUGAGGAGCGAAAGUGUGGGGAGCGAACAGG